rnacentral:rRNA from 1 species
CCUACGGGUGGCAGCAGUGGGGAAUAUUGCACAAUGGGCGCAAGCCUGAUGCAGCCAUGCCGCGUGUGUGAAGAAGGCCUUCGGGUUGUAAAGCACUUUCAGCGGGGAGGAAGGCGUUAAGGUUAAUAACCUUGUCGAUUGACGUCACCCGCAGAAGAAGCACCGGCUAACUCCGUGCCAGCAGCCGCGGUAAUACGGAGGGUGCAAGCGUUAAUCGGAAUUACUGGGCGUAAAGCGCACGCAGGCGGUCUGUCAAGUCGGAUGUGAAAUCCCCGGGCUCAACCUGGGAACUGCAUUCGAAACUGGCAGGCUAGAGUCUUGUAGAGGGGGGUAGAAUUCCAGGUGUAGCGGUGAAAUGCGUAGAUAUCUGGAGGAAUACCGGUGGCGAAGGCGGCCCCCUGGACAAAGACUGACGCUCAGGUGCGAAGGCGUGGGGAGCAAACAGGAUUAGAUACCCCUGUAGUC